rnacentral:rRNA from 1 species
UACGUAGGGCGCGAGCGUUGUCCGGAAUUAUUGGGCGUAAAGAGCUCGUAGGCGGCCGGUUGCGUCUGCUGUGAAACCGGGCCGGUUAACCCCGGGCGUGCAGUGGAUACGGGCCGGCUGGAGCAGGCAGGGGAGACUGGAAUUCCUGGUGUAGCGGUGAAAUGCGCAGAUAUCAGGAGGAACACCAAUGGCGAAGGCAGCUCGCUGGGACGGUACUGACGCUGAGACGCGAAACGUGGGGGAGCAAACAGG